GGCAGCGCAGUGUAAUGGUUUCAGCUUUAUACUAUGACUCUGGAGAACAGGGUUCAAUUCCCAGCUCAGCCA